UUAAUCCUGUUUCUUC
rnacentral:tRNA from 1 species